AACGCACCUUGCGCUCCUUGGUAUUCCGAGGAGCAUGCCUGUUUGAGUGUCAUUAAAUUCUCAACCCCUCCAGCUUUUGCGAGUUGUGAUGGGGCUUGGAUAUGGGAGUUUGCGGGUCUUUAUCAAUAAAGGUCAGCUCUCCUGAAAUGCAUUAGCGGAACCGUUUGCAGUCCCGUCACUAGUGUGAUAAUUAUCUACACUGUGAUGAUUGCUCUCUGACUAGUUCAGCUGCUAAUCGUCCACUAUGGACAACACUUAAUGAACUUCUUGACCUCAAAUCAGGUAGGACUACCCGCUGAACUUAA
rnacentral:misc_RNA from 1 species